UGAAUUCAGGGUUUCGUACCCACCAGGCCUCUGUUCCUCCGGUCUUCAUGUCCCAGGAUUCUCAUGCUGUGAGGAGCUUCCCUUGGACCUGAUAUCAGUUUGCCACCUACUGUGUGGGACUUAAGUGACAGACACAGGAGAAUGUCUACAAAUCACCUUCAAACUUCAAGUUUCGUGAAUCAGAGCCACGGGUUUAAUUGAGAGCAUUGAAUCUUUUAGGCUCACUCCUCAGGGAGCUGACAAAGGCGCCCGAAGUCAA